rnacentral:rRNA from 1 species
UACGUAGGGUGCAAGCGUUGUCCGGAAUUAUUGGGCGUAAAGAGCUCGUAGGCGGUCUGUCGCGUCUGCUGUGAAAACUCAGGGCUUAACCCUGAGCUUGCAGUGGGUACGGGCAGACUUGAGUGUGGUAGAGGCAAUCGGAAUUCCAGGUGUAGCGGUGAAAUGCGUAGAUAUCUGGAAGAACACCGGUGGCGCAAGCGGAUUGCUGGGCCAUAACUGACACUGAGGAACGAAAGCUAGGGUAGCGAAUGGG